UCCUUCUUAGCUCAGUUGGUAGAGCGCGUCACUAGUAUUUCUGAAAACAUGACGAGGUCAGUCGUUCGAGUCGGCUAGAAGGAA